CAGUCAGCAGGGCUAGGGGACCUGGUGGUUGAUUUCGCUGAUGUCUAUUCUCAGCUAGAGUUUGGGUUCCUACCUGUGACAGUUUUGUGGUUCUGUUUGCCAGGCCCUGAGUCUCUGAUGGCACCACCUUUAGCCCCUCUUUAGCAUUCUCUAGGCUCUUGAGCUCCUCUGGGGCUCAUCCUCACCCUGGGCAGCUUUCUCAGGUGAGACAAGACCUCCCCAGCUGCAGAGAGGCAGGCCUGGGCCCAUAGUUCUUGCUUCUAGUUUAUGUAGCCUCUCUGGUCACCAUCGAGAGGGGGAAAUUGCCCUGGAUUUUGUUCUGCUCCAAUCUUUCUGUAAUGCCCACCAUACUUCUGGGAGGCCAAACUCUUCCUUGCUAAUGACCUGUGGAGUAGCUGUCAGCUGGAGGAUGGAUGUCCUCCAUCAAGAGGUGACUGUCCUGCCUCUGCAUUCCGUGGGUGGGAAUGCUUAGCCAGUCCACAAACUCACCGUCUUCAUGGGCAGACCCUUUGCUCAUCACUGUCAGCCCGCCAGAUCCCACGGGGCUCCAGCUGCAGGCAGUUUUCCUUGAGGCUUCUUUGGGUCAGCUUCCUGCUUGGCCACUGACAGGGCCUCUGGGGCGGGGAGUAGAUGUGAUGAUGUAGCUUGAGAGGAUGAGAGUGGACUCUCUCUGGUCUCUGGAGCUUCGGUUGCCCUCUCUCUCUGAGUAGCAUGUUUGGUGGCAUCAACUCAAUGGAUUCCCAGCUGAGGACUGUCAAGGGUUAAGCAUUGGUGUUCAUCGAGUCUGUGGGCCCAGGUUUCCUCUCAGCAUCUUGGCUUUUUGGUUUGCAGCCUCAAGUGUGGCUUUUGGUCGUCAUAGUUUAUGUCCUUGGGCCCAAGCCUCAGACACUGAGACAGCUCUGGGCUGUCUUCUUCCUGACAGGCUGCUGGAUACAGUUUCCAUUCAAGGAUGCGUGCUGACUGCCUUCCGUCCUUCUCUUUCACCAGCCGUUAGCUGUGGCACACAGCACGCCCAGAAUCUGAGGCUGAGCCUCUUCUGAGCAGCCCGAGGCCCUCUCCCCAUGUUCAUUUCUACUGAGUCCCACCCCAUCUGAUGCUGCUUUCUUUAGGGGUGUGGUCCAGCCUGUGAGGCCAGGUCCCUGGUCCCUCCCUCCUGGGGCCAGGGAUGCUGUGCCCCCCUCUUCUUCCAAGCAUUUGCUCCCUACUUUGUGUUAAUGGUGACUUACAGCACGUCACGACUUUGUGAUAUCUAGCCAGGUUUAAAAUAACAAGGCGUAUGUAUGCGGCAUAGACAUCUCUUCCUUUAAAUGCUCUGCAGUUUGACAGUUGAUUUCCUGUGAUGAUGCAUUUGGGCCUUCCGGGACAUUGUCUCUUCUAGGGGAUGGUGGAGUGUAGGAUGCCCUGGCAUCUCUCUAGAGAAAGCCCCCAUUCUGGCCAAGCAGAAAACCACUGUGAUUCCUCCCAGUGUAUUUCCAAAUUUAUAUGAUUCAAGGAUUACUGGGGCUCCCCCUGGUGGUGAUAAGCUGUAAUGUCACCUGGGGGCUGCAGUGGUCCAGCAAGUUGGAGGCCAGAGGUGGGAAGGCCAAGGUGGCUGUGGUUCAAGAGGCCCUGAGCCCCCGAGCCGCACAUAUCCUGGCAGCAUGUCUCCCACCUUCCCCUCUUCUAGGUCAUCUGGGACUGGCAAGGUAAUUGGCAUAAGGGCACAGUGGGAAGCUUUUCCCUCCCAACUUUAAUUUUUUAAAAAAAUAUCUGCAGAAUAAACCCAAUGGUUAAUUUUUGAAUGAAUAAAAGGCUUUUGUUGAAUAAAAAGUUGGUCCCAUCUUCUGUCUUGGCACUAGGUUCAGGUUUUGUCUGCUUCCUAGGGUGGGGGUAACACCCAGCACUCUUCGCCACUUCAUCCCUGGACAAACUCAGUCUCCAAAUUCCUCUGGGACUUUGGGGGAGAGUCACACUACUCAUUGGGUCUGUUUCUCUAUGCCUCAGAAGGAGGUCAGCCACCUUGCAGGGGUAUCAUGAGGGCUAUGUGUAAAACAGCUAGAGGCCCUUGCAGGGGUGACAGGCUCCUGAUGGACUCUGGGUAACUUAAAAACCAAAUCCAAGAAAGGUGAUGUUCUGGUUGUGGUGUUUGCAUCCUUCCCUGCUUGCGUUCCCAGCACCCUCAGAGUUUUUUUUUGGGUGCCGUCCUGUCUAUGUCUUUUGGGGAGAAAGGGAGGCCCUCGCCUGGUGGUGCAGGCCAGGGGUGAUGGGCUUUGUCGCAUGUCCAGGCCUCUUCCCUGCUCCCGCUGUAUGUUGUCUGUGUCUGGCCAAUUAAACACGCUUCCUGGACCUCCCUGCC